rnacentral:rRNA from 1 species
UGAGUUUGAUCAUGGCUCAGAACGUACGCUGGCGGCACGCCUAACACAUGCAAGUCGAACGAAGUAGCAAUACUUAGUGGCAGACGGGUGAGUAACAUGUGGGUAUCUACCCUUUGGCCUGGAAUAACACGAGGAAACUUGUGCUAAUACUGGAUAAGUCUUUACGGAGAAAGCUUUAUGCACCAUUGGAUGAGCCCGCACUUGAUUAGUUUGUUGGUGGGGUAAUGGCCUACCAAGACUUUGAUCAAUAGCUGAUUUGAGAGGAUGAUCAGCCACAUUGGGACUGAGACACGGCCCAAACUCCUACGGGAGGCAGCAGUGGGGAAUCUUGCACAAUGGAGGAAACUCUGAUGCAGCGAUGCCGCGUGAGUGAAGAAGGCCCUUGGGUUGUAAAGCUCUUUCGUCGGGGAAGAAAAUGACUGUACCCGAAUAAGAAGGUCCG